CCAGCAGCCUCAUCACAUACGCCCUCUGCUCCUCCACCGUCAGCUUGAUCCACCUCCUGCCUCGUGCUGCAGGAAGGACACAACAACAAAGUGUUCAAGAGACAGAGAGGGGAGCGACACACCUGGUAUGGUAAAGUCGUCCUUCUUCGACCCUGAGGAGCUGUCGCUAGCAAGCCUCUGCGACUGUCCAUCUGAUGGGGGAACCUGGCAAUGUAACUAACACUCUUGGCUAAUCGGCUGCCGCUUGCCAUCUACCAGGAGGACAAUCAUUUUGACUUUAAAUCACUGCUGUUAUUCAACAUUUCCCUCUGACCCUCUGC